GAUGAACGCUGGCGGCGUACCUAAUACAUGCAAGUCGAGCGAACAGACGAGGAGCUUGCUCCUCUGACGUUAGCGGCGGACGGGUGAGUAACACGUGGAUAACCUACCUAUAAGACUGGGAUAACUUCGGGAAACCGGAGCUAAUACCGGAUAAUAUAUUGAACCGCAUGGUUCAAUAGUGAAAGACGGUUUUGCUGUCACUUAUAGAUGGAUCCGCGCCGCAUUAGCUAGUUGGUAAGGUAACGGCUUACCAAGGCAACGAUGCGUAGCCGACCUGAGAGGGUGAUCGGCCACACUGGAACUGAGACACGGUCCAGACUCCUACGGGAGGCAGCAGUAGGGAAUCUUCCGCAAUGGGCGAAAGCCUGACGGAGCAACGCCGCGUGAGUGAUGAAGGUCUUCGGAUCGUAAAACUCUGUUAUUAGGGAAGAACAAAUGUGUAAGUAACUAUGCACGUCUUGACGGUACCUAAUCAGAAAGCCACGGCUAACCACGUG
rnacentral:rRNA from 1 species